rnacentral:rRNA from 1 species
CCGACGGUGAGAGGUGAAAGCUGGGGGAGCAAACCGGAUUAGAUACCCGGGUAGUCCCAGCCGUAAACGAUGUGCGUUAGGUGUAUCGGUGACCACGAGUCACCGAGGUGCCGAAGAGAAAUCGUGAAACGUACCGCCUGGGAGGUACGGUCGCAAGGCUGAAACUUAAAGGAAUUGGCGGGGGAGCACCACAACAGGUGGAGCCUGCGGUUUAAUCGGACUCAACGCCGGGAAACUCACCAGAUAAGACAGCUGAAUGAUAGUCGGGCUGAAGACUCUACUUGACUAGCUGAGAGGAGGUGCAUGGCCGUCGUCAGUUCGUACUGUGAAGCAUCCUGUUAAGUCAGGCAACGAGCGAGACCCACGCCAACAGUUGCU